rnacentral:rRNA from 1 species
GUCCACGCCGUAAACGAUGGAUACUAGCUGUUGGGAGCAAUCUCAGUGGCUAAGCGAAAGUGAUAAGUAUCCCACCUGGGGAGUACGAACGCAAGUUUGAAACUCAAAGGAAUUGACGGGGGCCCGCACAAGCGGUGGAGCAUGUGGUUUAAUUCGAUGAUACGCGAGGAACCUUACCAAGGCUUAAAUGUAGAUUGCCCGAUUUGGAAACAGAUUUUUCGCAAGACAAUUUACAAGGUGCUGCAUGGUUGUCGU